rnacentral:rRNA from 1 species
UACGUAGGGGGCGAGCGUUGUCCGGAUUUAUUGGGCGUAAAGAGCUCGUAGGCGGUUUGGCAAGUCGGGUGUGAAAACUCCGGGCUCAACUCGGAGACGCCACUCGAUACUGCCAUGACUCGAGUCCGGUAGGGGAGUGCGGAAUUCCUGGUGUAGCGGUGAAAUGCGUAGAUAUCGGGAGGAACACCUGUGGCGAAAGCGGCUCACUGGACCACAACUGACGCUGAGGCGCGAAAGCUAGGGGAGCAAACAGG